rnacentral:rRNA from 1 species
ACUCAAAUGAAUUGACGGGGGCCCGCACAAGCGGUGGAACAUGUGGUUUAAUUCGACGCAACGCGAAGAACCUUACCUACCCUUGACAUGCUCGGAAUCUGGCAGAGAUGUUGGAGUGCCUUCGGGAGCCGAGACACAGGUGCUGCAUGGCUGUCGUCAGCUCGUGUCGUGAGAUGUUGGGUUAAGUCCCGUAACGAGCGCAACCCCUAUUCUUAGUUGCCAACAGGUGAUGCUGGGAACUCUAAGGAGACUGCCGGUGACAAGCCGGAGGAAGGUGGGGAUGACGUCAAGUCCUCAUGGCCCUUACGGGUAGGGCAACACACGUGUUACAAUGGUCAGUACAGAGGGAAGCGAAAUUGUGAGAUGGAGCGAAUCUCUUAAAAGCUGGUCGUAGUCCGGAUUGGAGUCUGCAACUCGACUCCAUGAAGUUGGAAUCGCUAGUAAUCGCGGAUCAGAACGCCGCGGUGAAUACGUUCCCGGGCCUUGUACACACCGCCCGU